AUGAGGUGCAUCACGGGCGAGUCUCCUUCAGUUCAUGUGCUGGCGGGAAUGAACUCUGCUGGCCUUUCAUUUGGUGGAGGGGCUGGAAGGUUCUCAGAGGAGGGUAAAGACUCACUCUGAUGCCAGCACGUGUCCGUCAGGCAAAGGAUAAACCGAGCCAAAAAGCAAAGUGAGCAGUCAGCUCUUCAGUGAAGCUAAACCACUUUUAGAAAGCUGCUGUCAUUCCUGCCCCAUCUGUGGUUUAAAAAGAAGAGAGUAGAGCCCCUCCCUCAAGAGAGCACAAGAGGUGACGGCGGAUCAUUUUAGAGAAAAAAAGGACCAGCCAUCGUCCAGUCUGGGAGUCCAGCUCUGAGGGAUCUCUAGCGAGAGAUGAGUGAUCACACAAGGUAAGUGCGCGUGGCCUGACUGCCUGGUGUGCAGGGAGGCAGGAGUCACCCCCUUCAGAGUUAGGACCAAAGAGGGAAACUACCAGAUUCACACUGAUGAUGUCUGAAUUGAGCAAGAGACUUCAGGGGUGAGUGUCAAAGUGGCAGAAGUGAAAUGUGUGUGUCAAGGGCCCUCAAUAAACAAGUGAUGCCCCAGGAUGUUAA